GUCCUGAAGAUGUCCCCUCUGCCUGUUGACACUGUGACAAAAACGUGUCCGUCUCAGAUUGGUCUUGAGAGUCGGGGAAUAAUGACAGUUAUCAGGGUCGGGUGUGAGAGCGGUGUGAGGAGCUACUGGCCCACAACCACCUCUGAUAUAGAAAAGUGGAGCAACAUCCUGUCCUGCAAUCCAGGUAACAACGGCAGCAGAGCUGCUUGCCGUGCAUGUCGCUGUGUGUGUGUGUUAAGUCAUUGUCCAGGGGUGUUAUCUCCUCUUGCGCCUGUGCGCCCGGCUCUUCUGGGCGCGCCCGUGUGUCGAUGACCUCAUCGAUCCAGCUCUUGAAGCGGCUCACUCGGGUGUAGAGAGCGGGAGAGGAGGGGGCGGAGCAACCAUUACCCCCGGCGACCACACCAGUGAGGACCCAUCGCCCUGACUCCUCCUGACACACCAGCCCGCCGCCGGAGUUACCCUGACAACUGUCACCAUGGAGGAGGCUAGUGUCGGGAGGACUGCCAGCGCACAGCGUGCCGUGGCUGGAGAAGCUGUCGCCAUAGCGCUUCUUACAUUGCCAUGAGGACAUGAGAGGGACCCAGGAGGCGAGGACGGAUUCUGGGAGAGACGAAACAACACUGAUGAGUUCAUCAACAUAUAAAGUUUAUAAGACAACA